CCUGUCUCUGCUCGGGCUCGAGCAGAGCACAAUGCUCCAGGAGUGUUGACCCCGUUUCUGACCUCCCUCCCGCAUGCUUGCUAGAGGAGCUGCCUCGCUGGUCUAGGCCAGAGUCCUUUCGUUUCCUUCUCUUCCUUCCUCCCCAUGAUUCUCUCUCUAAGGUCUCUCUCUCCCAUGUUUCUCGUACAGGAGCAUGGAGCCACUGCCAUGAAGGGCCACCCCCCGGAGUUUUGACGCGUUGCCUAGGAGCUCCACCAUCGGCCAGGUCCCGCGUCAAGUCGCUGGAGCCACCAGUUGCCCCCGGAUCCGCCACCAAGACCAACCCGUCUACCUCGCCUGACUCACCGCCGCUGGAUCACGAUCUUGCCUGCCCAGCCCUCCUUGGCAUCCCUUGCACCUCGCUGCCCCAGAGUGGCCUAGUCAUGAGCUCCUCGCCGCUAGGCCAGGCGGACUCCGCUGCCCUGGAUCUCGCCGCCAUCGGGGACCGGUAUCCGAGGGUCGGGGUCGUCCAUCCCUUGCCCAUGCCGACAGCAAGCCGCCGCACCAGCACCUUCAUCACCGACCAUGGUAACACGACUGCUUUGUUUCUGUUUUUCAGUUUCGACAGAUUUUCUCGCACGUAUAUUUCAUCUAGCAAAGAACCCACGAUUUGUCACAGUUUUUUCAUAGCAUAGCUGGUCAACGCAUUGGUUUGAACGAGGGAGGUACUGGGUUCGAGUCAUGGUUUCCCAAAUUUUUCCGUUGCUUGCUGUUAUUUUCACACGCACAACCACCUGGGUUGAAUCCUCUCCGGCUGCUGCAAUUCGGCCCAUUCUUUCCCCCCCCCCCCCUUUUUUUUCCUACUACGUUUUUUUAAUACUCAAGACAUGCAUAUUACAGAAAAUGCCUUGUUUUAAAGAUGUUAAUAAUUAAUAAACCAUGAAUCGGAGUAAAUUGAUUUAUAUAUUAAACCUGACUGAAAUUUUGUGUAGAUUCAUAAUUUGCAGCUUUCACAUGUGAUAAGAUGUUUCACUUGUCAUUUUCAUUGAAUUUGCAUAACUGCCAUGUUAAACGGUUUAAUUUCUAACUAAUUAACACUAGCUCCAAUUAAAAUGACCCAUAUAUGUAACUUGACUUGAAAAAUGUGUACAAUAACAUGGUGGCAUUUAUUUUUUGUUUAACAAAUUCUAAAAUUGUAUUCUAGGCAGAACAGUAGCGAAUUCAAAAAUUACAUAUGGGGACUUUCCAGAAUUGUUAUAUGUUGUUUCCGGCCUCAUUUAAAAUGCGUAGACGAUGUAGUUUGUUCAUGCUUCACCUCUUGCCAUGUUUAACAACAUUUAAUAUUGAUGAGUACCGAAAUGAUAGUGACUAGAUAAUUUGAACAUGUGUUUCGUCAAUAUUUAACUCGUUGCUUAUUGAACUUCACUUAAUGUGUAGUAGUUGACUAUUGUGCUUGCCAUGCCAUGCAUAAUUAAUUGGACAAACAUCAUAUUUGGUUGUGUAUCACAUCAUGAAUAUGUUGUGGUGUUUAUCGUCUGUUGAUUUUUUGUUUCUAGAUUGCUUCUUCUCGAUAGAGUUCGGAAAGCGUUCGGAGUGUGAGGAUUCAUUCAACUACGUUGGUUCGUCUACUUCACGAAUUUGUUCUUCUUCCAAGCGAGAUCUCACACACGAUGAUCAUUUCCCUCGAUACCACUUCUAUCAUUGCCAUGCUAAUUGUCUCAUUUCUAUCACUAUGUCUCGUUGUCUACCACAUGUUAUGAAUGCCAUGAAAAGCCUCUAACCCCUCAACAUCCGAGCAAAUCUUUUUUGGCUAUGUUAGUGCUUGCUCAACCCUUUUCUUAUAGCGUUGCUAGUUGCAUGUGCAAGUUGUUUUCCAUGUGACAACAUGAGAUUUUUUGAGAUACCACCAUAUUAUUGAUAUUUAAUUUAAUGCACCUAUAUACUUGGUAAAAGAUGGAAGGCUUGGCCUUUUGGCUCGGUGUUUCGUUCCACCUUUGCCGCCAUAGUUACUUGUGUACCGGUGUUAUGUUCCAUAUUGAGCGCUCCUAACAUGCUUGGGGUUUUUAAGGGCGCCCCUUGAUAAUUCUUCUUAGAUUGAAACUGUCUUAGCAAGGCCCAAAUUUGAUACUACAUUUGCCUAAUAACCAAUAAAAAAUUGCAUAGGGACCUCCGGCCCUCGUGGAUAAUUAAUCAACCCUCGGGCGAGUUGUCACACCCCAAAAAUUUAGUCAUAUUUUUAUAAAUUAAAAUAUUGCUUAGAAUAAUUUUUUUUAAAAAAAUAAAUUGCUUCAUGGCUCUUUUCAAAGCCUCUUCCCAAAAACUUUCCUUUUCAAGUAACGUUUUGAAGAUCAUUUGGUGCUUGAGUCAUUGCUUGAGGUCAUUUUAAAUUAUUUAUUUAAUUUAAUGGGGAUAUAUUAAAAUUUGUCCAUGGUAGUCUAAUUUUUAAUUUCUAGAUUUUCGGUUGAUUUCAGAACCACUCCUUUUCUCUAAAUUAUAAAAUUUACCCUCCAAGUAGAAGUUUCUGAAAAUUAUGAUGGGACUUGAGUGCUUGCAUUAAAACAUUUCUUUUAUUUUCAGUGGAGACCUUUUUAUAAAUAUUUUGUCAAGUUUCACUUGUUCAAAAAUGGCUUUUUAAUUCCUAAGGACCUCUUUUGCACUGCAACCCUUUGAGAACUUCAUUUACAAAUUCCACAAAAAAUUGGAGAUGUCAAGGGAUGCAUAAUACUCACUUUUAUGCAAAAACCCAUGGUUGUCCUUUGAAAAUUUUGAGCAGCACAACCCCUUAAGUCCAUGAGUUGAGCCCCAUUGGAUUAGUUUAAAUGCAUGAAUUAGCAGCCUCAACUUUCUGACCAGAAAUGCUUUUCUCAAAUAAUUGCAUUAACAACUUUUCUCUUUUUCAAAUCUAACUGUGCCAUUUUUUAGUGUCUAAAGAGACAUCACCGUGGAAAGUUUGGAUGCCAAAAAAUAUUUGAGAUGCCUUUGGCAUUUCAACAAACACCUAGAGUGCAUGUACAGAUCUGGCAUGGUCUUUCUUUGCAUUAUGGAGUUGCUCGCCUGACCCAAAAACAUUGUCCAACAGCUUGGCCUUAACCCAUAGCCUAACCUUGUUGAGUUUGAGCAGCAUUGGAGAUGGUUGGAUAUGCGAGACAAUUUGUCGAAUGGGUGCUGUGCAUGCUCUCGGCGUGUCCAGAGCGCACGUUUUGCACGCGCGCGCCUGAGCCGCCACGCCCCAGCCCUUGCCCUUUCACCAUCCCAUAGAGCCAAGCCACGCCGCCCCAAGCCCCGACCACUAGUCACCUCGCCCUACGCCGCUCACAGCCGUAACAGUGUGGCAGUCGUGGUAGCUAGCCGGUGUUUGUUCUGCCGCCGCAGUGGCCAGCACCGCCCAAACCUUCCCUGCAUGCCAGCUGCCCCCUUGGACCACCCUGCCUCCGUCCUCGUUCUGCCCGUACCGCUAGCGUGCUUCUGCUCCUCCCUGCCAUCGCUAGAGAUGGUCGCCGCCGACCUUAUCAUUGGCAGUCGCAAGAACCACCAUUGACCGCCUAUAAAAGGGACCCCCCCGAGCCCCCUUGAGCAGUGACCGCCCUCCCUGGACCCUUGGGCCACUCCACCUCUCGCUAAUUUAGCCAGAGCCACCUGCCCUGCUCGCCUCUAGCCGCAACACUGUCGCCAGCCUCCGGCUAAGUUCCAGCAGCCCCGAGCCUCUCCCGCUCCCCCUUGGCCCUUUCUAGCCUCACCAAGACAUUCCGAACCCAUUUAUCUUGCCCACUUGAGACAUGGUAGACCGUGGUGGAAUUACCACGGCGCCCGAGCCGCCGCCCGCCAUGGAUGAAGAGGUGCUCACCUCCGAGCCCUCCGGCGACCCUCUCUGCCCCCAUGAGAGGUGUUGCUCCUCCUUGGCACGCCAGUAUGCUCAGCGCGGCAAAUGAUGCCCCUAGCGUCGGCUAGCCUUGCCGAAGCUCGCCGCUGUCCCUAUCCACGCACGCGCGGGAGGAAGAAGAGGAAGCCGACAAGCAGGCCCCGCCUGUCGGCGAGCCAAGUCCUGGCCCCAUUGACGCGUGCACUGCAAUGUGUUCUGUCUGCUAGGAAGCGCGUCCGUGUGAGUGCGCCUUCCCUUUCUGUUAGCGUAUUCGUCCCGGAGCAUUUCAGUUAAUACGCUUUCUAUUCUCGGAAGCGUAUUUCUUACCAAAGCGUUUCCUUUUCUAAAUUCUUUUAAAAACAGAAUUUGACCAAAGCUUUCUGUGGCUAUGACUUUCAAAAUACAACUCCAAAUGAGUUGAUUCUUUUUCCUAAAAUUUCAUCUACUUUAUUUUAAGAUUUAUUUCAAAAAAAAAUUGAACAACUUUUAUGUGCUGAUUUGGAGUUGUGUGUUGAAUUGUAUUAUUUUCAAAAUAGGAAUUGGGAGAGAAGCAAAUUAUUUCAAGAUCAUUGGAGUGUACACCACCCUUCCUCACUCCAAAGGCAAGUGACUUGAACUCUGAUUUGUAUUAAGUUGUGUGAUGUUUAUUGUGGUGCUUUGAAUGCGGAAAUUUUGUUAUGUUGAUAAAAAUUCCCAUAUAAAAUCAUACCUUAAAUGAGUGUAUGUGAUGGGUAUUUUGCUUGUUGUUGUAUACAUGUGAUGCAGAUGGUGAGUGGGUACUACCUCAUGCCUCGUAUGCCAUGCUGGUCUGGGCAACCUCGGAGGAAGGUUUGUUGUGGUAAAUAUGAGACCAUGGGACUGACAUCUCAUGGGACGAGAGUGGUCAGUGAGAGAAUAUCGAGGUGUGAUGGGGGUAACACUAUGGCAUAUCAUUUAAACAAAUUAUGUGGUGCUAAACCUUGCAGGAAAACGUAAACCUCCUGAGUUGACCGUAGAUCGAGUCUUGCUAGUGUGUCACCUUACCUUUCGUGCUGCCAGAGGUCUUCCCGAAAGGUAAUAUGGUUCAGUAGGUCAUAAGCCUAUUAUCAGGUACACACCAAAUAGAGGGGCCGGGAUGAAGGUCCCGAAUAAAGCCAGUCAUCCUGUCACGGGACAUGAGUGAUUCCGGUCUGGGACCGAGAGGGGAAGAGCUCUCCCCUUGUAGCAUGUGGUAGAAAUGUGAUGCCAUGUUGUUCGAGGAUGUUGGCAUCCCUGUCUUAUGGUUUUUUGCCUGGCAGCGUAGUCCGGGUGAAUCCGUACCUCACGGGGGUAAAAACGGGUGUGUGCUGGUUCUGAGUGUUUACUUCUAAAAUACCGUACACAGGAUUAGUUCGAGUGACUAUUGAAACCCAUGGGAUGUGGGUAAAGAGUACACCCUCUGCAGAGUCAAAACUAUCCGAGUAGUCGUGUCCACGGUCAAGGACAGAUGGUUGACACGUCAAGUGUCGGUCUUCGGAGGAAUUAAAUUGAAACAAGAUGAUACCUAUGAACCGAGUUGUUAACCACAGUCAUUAUGAAUCUCUGAUGUAGACUAACCAUUUGUGGUAUAUGGAUUUGUUAGAGUAUCCAUGGGACGGUUCUACCUCCUCGAUACUCAGUGUAGUUAUUAUAUAAGCCCUUUUGGUGGUGUCGCUUAGACGCUCGACUGUGGCUACUAUUACUCCUUUCAUAUAAGCCAUUUCUGUGGCGCCGCUGAAACGCCCGACUGUGGCGAGUAUUUAUUUAUGCCCUUUAUGUGGUGUUGCUUAGACGUCCGACUAUGACAAUUGCUAUUAUUUUCAUAGGAGCCCUUUAUUUGGUGUCACUCAUACGCCUGACUGUGGCACGCAUGAUAUUAAUUAUUAAUUAUUAUCUUCAUAUAAGCCCUUUUGUGGUGUUGUUCGAGACGCCCAACUCUGGCACGUAUAGUAAUAGUUCGUUAACAAGUCCCUUUAUGUGGUGUCGCCAAGAUGCGUGACUAUGACUUGUAUUGCUUGUCCUUCCGAUGUGUCGCCUUAGACGCCCGAUCGACACACUUAUAAUUGAUGUUACAUUUCCUUGCUUUCUUAUACAUCAUUGGUGGAAAUAAUUCAUCUGCAUAAAUGCAUCCAUGAAUGAAUUCUUAUGACAUGGCAGGGUUAUUAAAUGAUUUAUGCAUGCACCUCACCCGCUUUUAACUUAUCUAUUUUCUUGAUGUUUGUGAGUUUAUUCAAAGUACUUAUUGGCUUGUCCCUGGCUAUUGUCUUAGCCAGAUUGCUUUCGGAGAGGAGCACAAUGUCAUCAACCCCGGAACCUAGGAGUCGAGGAUAGCAACCUUGUGAGAUAGGAAAUUAUCCAGGUCAGCUGUUGCUGUGGGAAAGGAGUCCCAUGGGCACUGUAGAUUCCUCUUGUCGCUUCCGCUGUGAGCCUCAGACUUUUGUACAACCCUAUGGACCUUCUCGGUCUUGUAACCCAAAUUCUGUAAUUUGGCUUGGGAUUUCUGUAUCAAGUGAGUGUCCACCAGCUAACAGUAAUCCUGGAGCAAGUGAACACAAAGGCCUGUUUUCUAGAAAUUAUUUUUCCAAAAAACCGGUAGCUACAUGUAGGAUCGAAAGUAUGUCUAGAGGGGGGGGGAGUGAUUAGACU
rnacentral:lncRNA from 1 species